CCAAGGUUGACCCUCUUAAUAUAAUGUAUAAUAUAAUAUAUGUAUACCUGCUUAUAUAUUUGCUUUAGAUUUAUAUGAAGUAUUAAAUAAGAUUGAAAUGCAGAAAACGAACAAAAGAGGACUAAGAAAUUGCUGCGGAUAAACAUAGUUCUAAUAACAUAUCAUAGAUGCAAGUAAUGAUCAGGUGAAUGGAAUCACGUGUCAAAAUCUCACGUUAUUAAUUUUUUUCUCAUGUUUGUAACCUUUUUUAGUCAAUUAGUGACUAUUUUUGAAACAAUUACACUUGGAAAAAAAUUUAGACUAAGACAAUGAAAGGUUCAAAACCCGUAAAAAAAUUAUUUGUAUAAAAGUUGAGCACUAAAUCUCACCUGGAAUCUCACACGGGAUUUUGCAAUAACCAUUAUAAGAAUUGGGAUACACGUAGAAGCAGAUAAGAUAGGAUAUAUACAGCCAAACGUGCUAAUGCUACAAAAUAAUCCUGGAUUGCUAUCAGAAAAAAUAGCCUAUAUGUCGCCGUCUAACAUAGAUUGGAAAAUUAUUCAAAAGGUGAAUUUAGAAUCCUACUUCGAAACAGGCAAUCGGCUACUAAAACAAUGCAAGACCAUACAAUCUCUGUGCGACAAAACUUCAUCAGUCUGUCCGCAUAAUUAACUAAUUAAAAGCUAUAUUGGACAGAUCCAAGAGACAAACUAGUAGUCCGAAAAAGUUAUAGAACUGCUGGUUGGCCUUGACUUAUCAAAAGCGUCGAGACAACGCAGGUCCAUCCUGCCAUUUAUCGGCCAAGUGAGCAGAUUUUUGUUCGGCACAAUGGAUGAAGAAGCUCAAAAAGAUAUGGAAAAUAUAAUUGAUUUGUCAUCCAACGACACACGUAAGACAGCAAAGCUGUUAGCACAGCAAACAGAACUGGUUGAAACAGAAUUUCAGGAGAUAAAUGACAAAAUAAAUAAACUAACUAGUGUAGUUUCGAACAUGUCUAAAUCCUUUGACUAUUACUACAAACGGGACACACUUCAGGUUGCAACGCAAAUUCUGGGCCAAGCAGUGACGCAAUACAAACUUGACACAGAAAUUAUUACAGACGCCCCCAUUUUCAACUAGCCGAAGCGCAACUUAAGCACCAGCGCAACUAAAGCGCCUAGUCCCUGGUCUUGAGCAACUUAUGCCUUGAGCAUCUUACAAUGAGUUUCGCGCAAUAAAAUAUUUUGAAAAUUGUUCAUGAAAAUAUCAAGAAUUGUCGUACACGGGCAAAUAAUAAAUUCAUUGAAAGUUGCGUAUAUGAUAAGAACAUUCUCUGCGAAAGUCAAAAGCCAUCACUCUACAAAGUAACUCAUUGACAAUUAUUCACAGUUUACCUUUUACAUUUUUCUCAUAAUCACUAUAUGGAUUCAUUAAUCAUUUAUAUCAAAAAAACUUUAUAUUAGCAAUACAAGGAAAAUGUCAAUGCUCAUGUCUCACAAAUAACUUUAAACGAAACAAUGCUUACAGAAAUUAAAAUAAAAUAAAACGAAUAGUUAAACAUAACAAGAAACAUGAGAUUGGCAUAACUCAAGAACCAACAAAUAAUCAUAAAUUGGAUAAAAAUUGAUUUACAAUAUAUAUAUAUAUAUUUUUCUCUUUACUGUAUAUGCUUAUAUGAACAAACAUGUACUCAUUACACACUGCGUAAAUUCACCGUUAUAUAUUAAGCUUAUGAUAAUUAGUUUAAGUAUAUGCGUGCACAUAAGCAGAAUUAUUUUACAAUUGCUAAAUUCAUCCUUUAUAAACGCUUGAUACACAGUACUCGAAACCUUAUUUAUAAAACAAGAAAUUAAUUAACAUAAUUCGAUAAUCGAGACGACAGAACUUAAAAUUUACAAAACUAACAAACAAUUCUUACACCACAGAGAUCAGGAGAAUAUAGGAGCACGAAUACUCGUAUCGAUUUCAACCAUUAUCGGAUGGUAUGAAAGAAAGAAAAGGAAUUUAUUGGCUGUUGCUCAAAAUCAAAGCUCAAUAUACUUAUAUGAGCACAAAAAUACAAAAAAAAAGACUAUUAAUAGCCUAAACAUUAUGAGCAUAUAUUUGGUUGUUCAUUUCUACGACUUUAUCAGUACAAUUAUAAUAAUUAAGCAUAUUUAUGCACUACUGACGGCAGAACACUUAUGUUCUCCAAGCAAAACUUUACAAUUAUGCAGCAGAAAAUAUUGAUAUCUUUUUCUGCACAACUAGUGAACAAUCUCUACGCAGAAACAACAAUUCAUCCUAAAAAAUUCUCAAGCUUCUUGAUUUUCGUAUAAGAUAAGACCAGAUUAUUCUUAGCUCCCAUUCUUAUAAACACAGAUAUAAUACUAACAAAAAUUAGUUAUUUAAUUAAUUGCUUCAUUCGCACACAUCGUUUAGGACAAAAAAAUUUAAAAUAAUCUUAAAUAAAUAAUCUACAAUACUAAGCUCGACUCGACUAUCGAUGAUAUGUAGCAAAAUCACAAUUGAAAAAAAAAAUAUCAUACAAAAUCCAAUUUCGCCAGAUACAAAGUAAAAUUAUAUUUGCACACGGCAUACUAACAAAGUGAUUUAGUAAUCACAUUUCUUAAUCAUUGUAUCGAAUUAAUCACCUAUUGUAUUUUCAUAUUAUAUACGUAAUGUUACCUUUUUAUUAUGACAUAUUUUUACACAGAUUAUAGGAAUAAGAAAAAUCUACAACUAGAUUAAGCAUCUUUUCAGUUUUAUUUGAAGUAAAAAGUGUAUAUGUACAAAGCGUAAUAACGAGGAAUAACAUGAUGAAUUGUUAUGAUUUGACGAUAGUGGUAUAUAUAUCCCUAUAGAUAUCAAACAAUUUAAAGGCAGCAAUUUCACAAAUAAUUAUAUUAACCAAUGAUUCAUCAAUAUCGUUUACAAACUUAUCACCAACAUUAAUUUUAAUAUUAUCGCUGUAUAAAGUAUAAUAUUGUUGAAAUACCUCGUAGGUUUUCGUCAUAGUAGAUUUGGCAUUUUCAAACAAGUUUUCUGUAACGUUUUUAAUAUAUUCAAUUAAAAAUUCUUUAAUAUAAA